GCUGUAAUGGUCUAGCGGUUAUGACAUUCGCCUCACACAUCUGUGCGAACCGCGAAGGGUCUCGAGUUCGAACCUCGAUUACAGUA